rnacentral:rRNA from 1 species
CUUUAAGUCCCCUGAAGGAACGUUUAAGACUAAGACGUUGAUAGGCUGGGUGUGUAAGUGCAGCGAUGCAUUGAGCUAACCAGUACUAAUGAUCCGUGAGGCUUAACCUUACAACACCGAAGGUGUUUUAG